CCCUGUGUGGCUCAGUUGGUAGAGCAUGGUGUUUGCAACGCCAUGGUUGUGGGUUCAAUUCCCACAGGGG
rnacentral:tRNA from 1 species